ensembl:lncRNA
AUAGACUUUUUACAGUUACCACCCGCAAUGGAUUUCCUGGGGUAACAUGUCAUCUCUUAAAUUUGUAGGCCUUUUGUUACAGAUACCACCCGCUAUGGUAGGUACAUUCUUGAAAUAACCAGGCCUUGAAUCUUGAGCCGUGUUGCAGUCUAUCACCCUUAACGGGUUAGCUGAGAUAGUGUAAUGGGUUGCAGUCUACCACCCUUAAGGGGUUAGCUGAGAUAGUGUAAUGGGUUGCAGUCUACCACCCUUAACGGGUUAGCUGAGAUAGUGUAAUGGGUUGCAGUCUACCACCCAUAAAGGGUUAGCUGAGAUAGUGUAAUGGGUUGCAGUCUACCACCCUUAAGGGGUUAGCUGAGAUAGUGUAAUGGGUUGCAGUCUAUCACCCUUAAAGGGUUAGCUGAGAUAGUGUAAUGGGUUGCAGUCUACCACCCAUAAAGGGUUAAGGUCCUUGGCUCCCACUGAGGCUUUCACCUCAGCCACCGUGAUCAGAGUUAAUAGACGUGAACGCAGCAACCUUGAGUCGGUUGGAGUUUCC